GGGCCAUCCGUGGCAAUGCCUCCCAGGCUUGGGAGCUGGGAAAAGGCCCCAGGAGCUAGGGCAUCCUGAUUGUUCUUUCAAAGAAAUCCCUCUUGUUCUUAGUCAACAUGCUGGAUACCAGCUAAAAAAUGCAAAAUGAUCUUCAGGCAGGGAUGGCACAGGACCCUUGCUGAGCUGUGAAGCCUGGCUGUGAGGAUUCCUGCAUGGAAACAUCAACAUGUUGCCAGAUUGGUAUACGACUCAACACCACACUGACAUGCUGCUCCCAAACAGUGCCUUUGAAUCAAGACCCAGUCAUCGUAUUCGAAGAAAAAGGAAAUAUCCCUGACCAUGUUGGGACUUAACACUGCUUCACAGAGUCCAUGGAGUUCCUGGUGACUAAUGCCAUCCACAAGAUCUGAAGGUGUUGUGUAACCUAGACCUGGCCCUUCUCUCAGUGCAUCCCCCUCUCCAGAGUGACCAACUCAGAGAGGUCAUGUGCUUAAGGAGAAGUUGACUGUCUGCAACCUGGAAGCAAGCCCUCACCAGAAGCUGACCAUGCUUGCACCCUGGUCUCAAACUUCCAGCCUCCAAAACUGUGAGAAUAAAUAUCUGUUGUUUGAAAGCCACCCAGAGUACCAUAGUACUCUGUUACAGCAGCUCAAACUGACUGAGACCCUCUUUAACAAUGACAAUAAAACUAAGAAUGGCUAAAAUGUA
rnacentral:lncRNA from 1 species